rnacentral:lncRNA from 1 species
CAGAAACCACCAAAAUUGAGCUGUCGCCUAAGCUCGAAGCUAGGUUCUCCCUUUUGAGAACUUCGUUCUGAAAAAUCACCGCGGUAACCUUAUCCCACGGUAACCUUAUCCAUCUUGAUGGUGCUCUUUCCUACUAGAAGAGCAGUCAUCAAAGACUCAUACGAAGAGGAAAGCAAUGCUAGCAAGACCAGCACUCUAGUCUUCUCCUCAACUUUUUCACCAAUACUGAGG